GCCGCCCUUUCACCCCUGGCAGGAAACUUAGCACCCGAGAAAGCGCAGCCACGGUCUCUGAUUGGCACAGCUUUGUUUUGCGCGUUCCGGGGCAACAGUUUAUUUGGUUUUACGGCAGCGGUGUCCUGUAACAGCGGAGCGAGUUUUCUCUUCAGCGUCAAAAAAAAGCAAAGAAAAAGCCCCCCUCGCUGUGAAACGGGACACCACGGUUCCCAGUGGCCCAAGGCUUUGGCAAUUGAACUUUGCUGCAGACUCACUCCGCGGCACAGCGCUCCGCCGGCCCGUGGCAAACGCAGGUGUGUUGGGGAGCGGGGGGAGGCUAGAGGAAAGGACGUGCACGGCCCCCGAGCCUCUCUAGUGACCCUUGGAAGAGGCAGGGAGGCAGGGGCUGGACGCACGCCCCGGACCGCGUCGCUGCGGGCCAAGGAGCUGUGCAGAAGCGAGGCUUGGCGGAUCGCGCCCAGCCCGACAGCUGCGCCGCGCUGCGCCGCCAGCGCCCGGCCCCCAGCCCUUGCGAGCGUGCGGAAAGGGGUGCAGCUUCGCGUGGAGAGGACGCCACGAUGCCAGCUGCCCGCUCGGCCUCACGGCCCCGACACGCCCGUCGCGGAGUCAGACCGGCUCUGCGAAGCGCUUCCUCCUACACGCUCCGCCCGAUGGCCUCCCCGGCACCGCGGUGCGCAGCUGGGCCUCCAAGCCCCUUGGCCGCUGGAAUCCGAGCCCCGCGCCAGAAGGCACUGGCCCGGGGCGGGGAGUGAACGGCGGGGGCCCGGGGCUCGCGGCUCCAGAAACGGCUCCCGAUCCCCGCACUCUCCCGCGCCGGCUUCGCGCGAGCCUUCGGUGCGCUCCUGCCCAGGUGCCCUGCCCGAUCUCACUCCCCAGCCGGCUCCUCGAGGUCCCGCGGCCGCUGAUUUGCCGAGUGCACGCCUCUGCGCAGCGCGGGGAGCUUCGGGCGCGGCUCCCCGAAAGCAAUGUCCAGCGCAGCAGACGGACAGCCGCACGCUCCCCCGCGCCAGGAGGCGCGAACUGCGUGAGCGCGGACGCGGGCUUUGGAGUCGCGACCCCGCACGCAGCGCGGAGAGCCCUGCUCGGGCCUCCGCCGCCGGACUCACUCACCAUCGCUGA
rnacentral:lncRNA from 1 species